GUACACUCCUGCGGGAGGCAGCAGUGGGGAAUUUUGGACAAUGGGCGAAAGCCUGAUCCAGCCAUGCCGCGUGCAGGAUGAAGGCCUUCGGGUUGUAAACUGCUUUUGUACGGAACGAAACGGCCUUUUCUAAUAAAGAGGGCUAAUGACGGUACCGUAAGAAUAAGCACCGGCUAACUACGUGCCAGCAGCCGCGGUAAUACGUAGGGUGCAAGCGUUAAUCGGAAUUACUGGGCGUAAAGCGUGCGCAGGCGGUUAUGUAAGACAGUUGUGAAAUCCCCGGGCUCAACCUGGGAACUGCAUCUGUGACUGCAUAGCUAGAGUACGGUAGAGGGGGAUGGAAUUCCGCGUGUAGCAGUGAAAUGCGUAGAUAUGCGGAGGAACACCGAUGGCGAAGGCAAUCCCCUGGACCUGUACUGACGCUCAUGCACGAAAGCGUGGGGAGCAAACAGGAUUAGAAACCCCGGUAGUCCCAUGA
rnacentral:rRNA from 1 species